rnacentral:rRNA from 1 species
AUUGAACGCUGGCGGCAGGCCUAACACAUGCAAGUCGAACGGUAACAGGAAGCAGCUUGCUGCUUCGCUGACGAGUGGCGGACGGGUGAGUAAUGUCUGGGAAGCUGCCUGAUGGAGGGGGAUAACUACUGGAAACGGUAGCUAAUACCGCAUAAUGUCGCAAGACCAAAGAGGGGGACCUUCGGGCCUCUUGCCAUCGGAUGUGCCCAGAUGGGAUUAGCUUGUUGGUGGGGUAACGGCUCACCAAGGCGACGAUCCCUAGCUGGUCUGAGAGGAUGACCAGCCACACUGGAACUGAGACACGGUCCAGACUCCUGCGGGAGGCAGCAGUGGGGAAUAUUGCACAAUGGGCGCAAGCCUGAUGAAGCCAUGCCGCGUGUAUGAAGAAGGCCUUCGGGUUGUAAAGUACUUUCAGCGGGGAGGAAGGGAGUAAAGUUAAUACCUUUGCUCAUUGACGUUACCCGCAGAAGAAGCACGGGCUAACUCCGUG